rnacentral:rRNA from 1 species
UACGUAGGCAGCGAGCGUUGUUCGGAAUUACUGGGCGUAAAGGGCUCGUAGGCGGCCAACUAAGUCAGACGUGAAAUCCCUCGGCUUAACCGGGGAACUGCGUCUGAUACUGGAUGGCUUGAGUUUGGGAGAUGGGAUGCGGAAGUUCCAGGUGUAGCGGUGAAAUGCGUAGAUAUCUGGAGGAACACCGGUGGCGAAGGCGG